rnacentral:rRNA from 1 species
UACGGAGGAUCCGAGCGUUAUCCGGAUUUAUUGGGUUUAAAGGGAGCGUAGGUGGAUUGUUAAGUCAGUUGUGAAAGUUUGCGGCUCAACCGUAAAAUUGCAGUUGAAACUGGCAGUCUUGAGUACAGUAGAGGUGGGCGGAAUUCGUGGUGCAGCGGUGAAAUGCUUAGAUAUCACGAAGAACUCCGAUUGCGAAGGCAGCUCACUGGACUGCAACUGACACUGAGGCUCGAAAGUGUGGGUAUCAAACAGG